GACACCUUUGAUUAAUAGAAAAAAAAUAAAAUAAAAUAUAUAUAAACAUACAUCAGAACAAAGAAACAAAAGGGAAUCAAUAAAUGAAUAGCCCUCCCUCUCCCCCCGGCCCUUUAGAAUUAUACAGAUAGGACUGCAGAACUCCAAAGCUUCAAGAAAGACUGGGGAGGUGCAGUAGGAGAAGGGGAAAGGAGAAGCUAUUCAACAUUUGUUUGAUGGUUUCUUGUAAACAAACAUUUUAGUAGUUUUGCCAAGGUCUCUGUAGCUGGCCUCCUGACAAAAGAAUAACUGUUCAGAGAGAAUCAGCAUGAGGCCAUUCAGCACAAUAAUACUCUUUUGGAGCCUCAUACAAAUGUGGCAGAGAGGGUGGGUGUGCACUACAAAUCAAUCUCUGGGCUUUGACAGGGUGCAUUAUAAAUUGGAAGGGGAGGAGGGAGUCAGUAGAAACAACAGCUAUCCAGAGAUCCUCAUAAAUACAAGGUUCCAGGCAUUGCAGCCAUGCUGAGUUUGCAGGAUGAUGAACUGAACCAUAAACACCGACUCUGAGCGUUGGCAAGGCAGCAGUACGGCGCUAGGAAUUCUCUCCUGCAUUGGAACCUAACCUUAUUCUGCACUAUAACUCAUACACAGAAAAUACAGAUUGGGCCACAGUAAGAGAUUAAAGAAAACAGCACACAGCAGGAUUCUGAAUGUGUUCAAAGAUGAUUUGUUGCCAAUGCAUUUCAGAGCUUGAUCUACUCUAUCCCCUUUCCAGGUUAAUAAUAAAACAUGUCCAAUUUUAGGAAACUUGGAUUUUCAUAUUUUGAGAAGAAUUUAUUAUUAAGUAUUGCUACUAUCAAUUGGAUUCUGUUCUUAAAAGGAAGAUGCUCUUUUAAAGAAAAGCCCUCUUAUAAGAAAGUUCAUUUAGGCUUUUAUUUAGCUCUCACUAGCAAGGCAGACCAAGAAUUCUUCAAAUUAAAGCUGAUCAAUAGGUAGAAGCAAGGAAAACAAGUUAGAAGUUAAAAGCAAAGGUUGGUCGAAGUACUACAUUUCAUUAAGAGGUCCUAAGAGUAAUUGAUCAGCAGCAAUUAUGCGCUAAGCUGUCACUAAAUUAUGAAAAUAAACCCCUUCUGUACAGAAGUCAGCUAAUCUUUCUAUUUAUAAUACCCCCCUCCCCCCGUUCUUUUACAGGCAAUUUCUUCUCAUGGGAAAAAGCUAGAGGAAUCUAUCCAAUGGGUAAUCACACACAGCCAGUGGCAAGUCUGACUUCUCAAAAUCUCAGAUAUUGGUCUGACUUGGCAAGCAGAAGUUAUCUGAAAGCACCAGAAGGACAGCAUUGUUUCAAGACUAUGCAAAUCAAGUGUGGGAAAGUUGCACCUUAAGUAAAUAAGAGCACUAGUGCAUGUCUGGGCAGUGAGUGGGAGGACAGAAUGGACUUCAAAGCGCAGCAGCAGAAUUCUACAUUCAUCAGAGCCUACUGACAAGAUUUCAUCCCAGCUAUUAACCUCUCAGCACUCUGAGCCUGGCUCACAAUGGUAAAAGAACAGAAAGAUUUAACUAAUCCUAUUCUAAAGAAUGCUUGACUUUUGCCUCUGAUGGAAGAAAGCAGGGGUGGGAGGGAGAAAGGGGGAAAAAUGUGAGUGAAAGAGAAAAGAGAGAAAAGCCACACUGUACUUCAAGCUAGUAGUUGAAACAGCCUAUUAAUCAGGAUAUUGGAGGGGAAAAAAAAAAAAACAACCAAAAAUAAAAACUAAACAAAAACCCAACCCAUAAGGCAUUUGCACUAUUUAGCAGAAGCAAUUAGUCAGUGCUCAUUAGGCAGUAUUCACUUGAUUUAUUCCACUUCUCCCCCAGCCCUCAAAAUGCCACCAUUUCACAAACCAAAAGCUUCAAAUUAUCAGUGCAUUAAAAGCCUGCUCCCCCCCUUGUUCUGGGCAAGUCUGCAUGAAUAAUAUGCCUUGCUCAAAAAUAUGGCUCCGAAAAUACCCUCCCUCCACAAUCCUACUGUGUUCAGCAUCACUCAUGUAAUUGCUUGGUGGGGACAAGGAGAGAGAGAGAGAGGGGAGCAUUUACCUGCA